AGCUUUGUGCAGUGGUAGUAUCGUAGCCAUUGAGGUUUAUCCGAGGCGCGAUUAUUGCUAAUUAAAAAUACCUUUCUUUUUUAGGGCAUUUUUUCCCUCUCAAAGUUUUUUCUGCUCUAUACAACCUUUUUUAUUUCCCAUGUGG